rnacentral:snRNA from 1 species
GGAUGAAAGGGUGAUCUGGCUGUGACAUUUGUCACCCGAUUGAUCACUGGGGUUGAUUUGGCUGAUGUGACUGGCUAGGCAGCUGUCCCCUUACUCCCUCAUGGCAUGGCAACAUGUGCGUCCUUCCCAAAGCUUCGCACUCAGUCAGAGAGGAGGACCUUCCCCAACAGAGGAGGAUCUGUGUUUAGCCAAGUAACUGCGCUCCCCUGCUAGACCCUCCAAACAAGCUCUCAAGAUGCAAACACUACCGAAGUCCACAAAUAUUUUAAGAGCUACAGUGUCUAGCAUUUG